UACCUGUUAUGGAAUCCUGAAAUGAAGUAGGCAAUCUUAAAACAUGUUUUGAAGUGGGAUAAUGACAGUUUUAUCAAGUGUUCUCGGUUUACUACGCUAUUACUUGUUGAACUUCUGUAAAGUUCAUGUGUACCUUUGUUCACUUGAGAAUCAAACAUCUGAAUAGUGACUGGAAUGAAAAAAAUAGCUAAAUGGAAUAGCUUCGAAGUUUUACAAUAAAGAGAGAGUUACAUAAGCAGAAGUUCAUUUCUUGGUAGGUAUGGAACCGAAAAAGCCCCGCACAUUUCGGUCUUGGUAGCUUCAAGUUACACGCUAGGAUCAAGUAAGAGUCUCUUGAUUGGCGGGAGCAAUUAAAACCUGAAUCCAUGCGAGGGCCUGGCUGGUAAGCACUUCAGUUCUGCAGAUGAUAGUUUUGUUUGUUUGAAAUUGAACAGAAAGUUCAUGAGAGAUAUUGGUAUAAUUGAAAACAUUGUUUGAAAUUGAAAGUCCUAUCAAAUAUGUAAUGUUUCAGUAAGUUAAUUCAUUCUGGUGCUCUGUUGAUUCUAUCCGAUAUAAUUGUACGAUUACAAUCGGACAUUUGAGACAAAAUAUAAGGGAAGCUGGGGCAAGACGGAGUGGACCUUUUUCUUACCAGUCAGGUGCUGUACUCUGUUGACAACCUUCGUAACUAUCUUGAAGGAGAAGGGCAAGACAAGACUACAAACAAACCGGCAGCCAUCUUGAGUCACGUCUUUGUUGCCAGUGGAUUAAAACGUAUUUCUGUAGGUAGAUUUUGUUAUAAUAUUUGGUGUUUUUAAAGUUGGGACUUGUAAGUUGUGUUAAAAUAAUUUAAUACGUAAUUAGUAUAUUCAAAUAGUAUGUAUCCUUGCCUUAAAUAGUAUCACUACUUCUAUUAUAAAACAUUGAAGCUUAAUUAACCUGAAAACUGUGCGGUGGGACAGGGCAGGGAUACCGGCCUGAGAGCAAGUUUUCUAUAGUAGACAGUGCAAGGCUGGAGGAAAUAUAUUUUUUUAAGUUUAUUCCAAUACAAUUUUGACGUAUAGGUUAUUAUUAUUGAAUUAUUAUUAGGAUAUUGUUUUUUGUUGCAGAAAAUAGUACAUAACGACCAGAGAAAAACGCUCAUGUGAUGGUGACGAAGAUGACGACGAGGUUCAUCAUAUUUGCGAAUUUUAUGAGUGGUUUUUGAUAAUGACGACUAUGAUUGCAAAAACUGCCACAUAGUUUCACAUAAAUUCGCAGAACAUAUCUUAAACUACGAAAUCCUUAAGAACACAUCAGGAAGGCAAAAGAAAGUCACAAGGAUCAAGGUAUUUUUUUCCAUCAAGAAUUAAAUUUUCCUCGCACCUGAACCAAAUACAGAUACCUAACGGAAAAACAACGACUAACCAGCUAAUGUCGAGCAGAGAGUUGAGGUAAAACCAUCAGAAACCUGUGCAACGUCUCCGACUUGGAAGAUUCGUCGCAAGUUAUUUCCCACUAUGGAAAGCAGUAAUUAGUUUCAUUUGGUCGAUACGACCAACCAAUAGACCGGUUUCGGGGUACUUGCCCCAUUAUCAGUACCGGGCAUGGUCUCUUCCGAACGGUGUGAACCGUCGUAUCACGACCAAACACUAACUAACCAAGCGUCUUCAGUUCAAUCAGGUUGGAGCAUAGCUCCCUUACCCUUGUAGAGUAUUAACCGAGCAAGAGGAUAUCCGAACGUGGAUAAUCGAACCCAAAAACCCAGUCAAUUGUCAUAAGAGACAUAGGUAUAAAUUGUAUAUUAGGGUAGCAAGAAAGUAGUUGGUAGUUGUAGAGAGUAAAAUGUAAAGAAUAUCUUGUGGAAUCAUAAAAUAAAGGAUUUCCAGGAAGAA